AGUGAACGCUGGCGGUAGGCCUAACACAUGCAAGUCGAACGGCAGCACAGUAAGAGCUUGCUCUUACGGGUGGCGAGUGGCGGACGGGUGAGGAAUACAUCGGAAUCUACUUUUUCGUGGGGGAUAACGUAGGGAAACUUACGCUAAUACCGCAUACGACCUACGGGUGAAAGCAGGGGAUCUUCGGACCUUGCGCGAUUGAAUGAGCCGAUGUCGGAUUAGCUAGUUGGCGGGGUAAAGGCCCACCAAGGCGAGGAUCCGUAGCUGGUCUGAGAGGAUGGUCGGCCACACUGGAACUGAGACACGGUCCAGACGCCUACGGGAGGCAGCAGUGGGGAAUAUUGGACAACGGGCGCAAGCCUGAUCCAGCCAUACCGCGUGGGUGAAGAAGGCCUUCGGGUUGUAAAGCCCUUUUUUUGGGAAAGAAAAGCAGCAGGUUAAUACCCCGCUGUUCUGACGGUACCCAAAGAAUAAGCACCGGCUAACUUCGUG
rnacentral:rRNA from 1 species